rnacentral:rRNA from 1 species
GCAGCUAGCCAGUGAUGGCAUGCGAAUCUCGAAAGCCUAUCUCAGUUCGGAUUGGAGGCUGAAACCCGCCUCCAUGAAGUUGGAUUCGCUAGUAAUCGCGCAUCAGCCAUGGCGCGGUGAAUACGUUCCCGGGCCUUGUACACACCGCCCGUCAAGCCAUGGGAGCCGGGGGUGCCUGAAGUUCGUUACCGCAAGGAUCGACCUAGGGCAAAACUGGUGACUGGGGCUAAGUCGUAACAAGGUAUC